GGUUGAUUAGUGUAGUGGUUAUCACUCCGGAUUCUGAUAUCCAGAAACUGGAAGAUUUCCGGCAACGCCGGUUCGAAUCCGGCAUCGACCU